CGAACGGGUGAGUAACGCGUGAGGAACCUGCCUCAUACAGGGGGAUAACAGUUAGAAAUGACUGCUAAUACCGCAUAAGACCACAGCACCGCAUGGUGCGGGGGUAAAAACUCCGGUGGUAUGAGAUGGACCCGCGUCGUGAUUAGCUAGUUGGUAAGGUAACGGCUUACCAAGGCGACGAUCAGUAGCCGACCUGAGAGGGUGACCGGCCACAUUGGGACUGAGACACGGCCCAA
rnacentral:rRNA from 1 species